UGCACAUGGGAAGCCGGGGUGUUUCCCUGUUCUUCUCCAGCCUGCUUGCAUUUGCUGCAGAGGGGCAGGCUUCUGUGAUCAUAUGCCUAUUUUGUUCUUGUCUCCUCAACAUAUUUCUCUUUUCUUGUGUCUCUGUGCUUGCAGCUCCUCAGCACAAAGCACUCUGUGCGAUCGAGCUGCUAGCACCUCCACCCAGUGCUCCCACUGACGACAGAGGGAGUCCCAGUCACAGGGUCCCUGACAGACCGGACCUCUCGCGCCGCGCCCCUGCUUCCCGCAGGCAUUCGUCACAGCGUUCAGCACCGCUUGGCCUAGGUCAGAUGCCUGCGUUAUUCCGCUGGCCAAACCCCUCGCAGUGGGAUACAGUGCUAGCUCUCUCUUUUUGUUUCUCUUUGUUUAUAGUACUCGAUCCAGCUUUCAGGCCAUGCGCAAAUGCUCUGCUCCCAGCCAACUUGAAUUCAUUUCAAGGAAGAUUGCACAAGAAUUCAGCUCUGCUGCUCCGAGCCAGGCCUGCUGGGCUGGCUGUUUUGUUCUCUCGGGCCCCAGUCCUGCCGAAGGACCUGCUGGCACAAACCCCUGGAGGAACAAGGUUCCUGGAUGCUGGUGAGAAACAGGUUGCUAUCUGAUAUAUUGCCCAAAAUUCACAGAAGGAAUCAUUGGCACUGCUGAUUUCAGAGCGAUCUGUAAAAUCUGCAGUGAUGCCGUUAAACGGGGACCCGCAGACGUGCCUGUUGCAGUGAUGCCAGCCUGCCCGGCUCCCCUCGGCCGGCGUUCAAGGCCGGGUGCGCGGGGUGUGCGCGCCGAGCGGGGUCGGGG
rnacentral:lncRNA from 1 species